UCCUCCACUGUGCAGUGCCUAGCCGACUCCUUCCUUUGUCCUAGGUUCCCUCUUGUUGCUGGAUCCGAACCCUAACUCCUCUGGGUUGGGUUGUGGUCAGCCUACCCGACUGCAGCUUCUCCGGAUCUUGGCAGUAAGUUCUAUAGGAUUUGAGCAGUGUUGAGGCAUCAGGGAAUAUGGGUAAGGUUGGUGUUAAGUUAAUUACUGUUGAGGUGAGUAUGGGAAGAUGAACUUGAUGAUUUCGAUGGUUUGAGCUAUUGGUAUUACUUUUGUUAUGUAAGCAUAGGGUUAAUUAUAUUAAAUCCUGUGUAGACCUUAUAUGGUGAUUUCCUUUGCAGACAUUGUUGGAGAAAGCCCUAAUCGCUGCGAUCUUCCUUUUGUGUGAUCCAGAGGACCUUGACGCGAGACAAGUUUCUUAACGUCCGGAUUUGGACUGAUAGGAUCUUUCCUAUUGGAGGU